CGGCGCCCCCCACAUGUAUGCUCGUCCUCGCUGUCGACGCAGGGGAAUCCGGCGCGAAUCCGGAACUGUCCCGCAACGGUGUACUUCGUGCGGCUUCGUCCGGAGUGAGUCCGAACACCUGCCGACGGCGCGCCCGGUCCU
rnacentral:ncRNA from 21 species